UACGUAGGCAGCGAGCGUUGUUCGGAGUUACUGGGCGUAAAGCGUGCGUAGGCGGUGUCUUAAGUUUGUUGUGAAAUCUCCCGGCUUAACCGGGAGGGUGCGGCGAAUACUGAGAUGCUGGAGUGCCGGAGAGGUAAGCGGAAUUCCUGGUGCAGCGGUGAAAUGCGUAGAUAUCAGGAGGAACACCUGCGGUGUAGACGGCUUACUGGACGGUAACUGACGCUGAGGCACGAAAGCGUGGGUAGCAAACAGG
rnacentral:rRNA from 1 species